rnacentral:rRNA from 1 species
CCUACGGGGUGCAGCAGUCGAGAAUCAUUCACAAUGGGGGAAACCCUGAUGGUGCGACGCCGCGUGGGGGAAUGAAGGUCUUCGGAUUGUAAACCCCUGUCAUGUGGGAGCAAAUUAAAAAGAUAGUACCACAAGAGGAAGAGACGGCUAACUCUGUGCCAGCAGCCGCGGUAAUACAGAGGUCUCAAGCGUUGUUCGGAAUCACUGGGCGUAAAGCGUGCGUAGGCUGUUUCGUAAGUCGUGUGUGAAAGGCGCGGGCUCAACCCGCGGACGGCACAUGAUACUGCGGGACUAGAGUAAGGGAGGGGGAACCGGAAUUCUCGGUGUAGCAGUGAAAUGCGUAGAUAUCGAGAGGAACACUCGUGGCGAAGGCGGGUUCCUGGACAUUAACUGACGCUGAGGCACGAAGGCCAGGGGAGCGAAAGGGAUUAGAUACCCUUGUAGUC